GAUGAACGCUGGCGGCGUGCCUAAUACAUGCAAGUCGAGCGAACGGACGAGAAGCUUGCUUCUCUGAUGUUAGCGGCGGACGGGUGAGUAACACGUGGAUAACCUACCUAUAAGACUGGGAUAACUUCGGGAAACCGGAGCUAAUACCGGAUAAUAUUUUGAACCGCAUGGUUCAAAAGUGAAAGACGGUCUUGCUGUCACUUAUAGAUGGAUCCGCGCUGCAUUAGCUAGUUGGUAAGGUAACGGCUUACCAAGGCGACGAUGCAUAGCCGACCUGAGAGGGUGAUCGGCCACACUGGAACUGAGACACGGUCCAGACUCCUACGGGAGGCAGCAGUAGGGAAUCUUCCGCAAUGGGCGAAAGCCUGACGGAGCAACGCCGCGUGAGUGAUGAAGGUCUUCGGAUCGUAAAACUCUGUUAUUAGGGAAGAACAUAUGUGUAAGUAACUGUGCACAUCUUGACGGUACCUAAUCAGAAAGCCACGGCUAACUACGUGCCAGCAGCCGCGGUAAUACGUAGGUGGCAAGCGUUAUCCGGAAUUAUUGGGCGUAAAGCGCGCGUAGGCGGUUUUUUAAGUCUGAUGUGAAAGCCCACGGCUCAACCGUGGAGGGUCAUUGGAAACUGGAAAACUUGAGUGCAGAAGAGGAAAGUGGAAUUCCAUGUGUAGCGGUGAAAUGCGCAGAGAUAUGGAGGAACACCAGUGGCGAAGGCGACUUUCUGGUCUGUAACUGACGCUGAUGUGCGAAAGCGUGGGGAUCAAACAGGAUUAGAUACCCUGGUAGUCCACGCCGUAAACGAUGAGUGCUAAGUGUUAGGGGGUUUCCGCCCCUUAGUGCUGCAGCUAACGCAUUAAGCACUCCGCCUGGGGAGUACGACCGCAAGGUUGAAACUCAAAGGAAUUGACGGGGACCCGCACAAGCGGUGGAGCAUGUGGUUUAAUUCGAAGCAACGCGAAGAACCUUACCAAAUCUUGACAUCCUUUGACAACUCUAGAGAUAGAGCCUUCCCCUUCGGGGGACAAAGUGACAGGUGGUGCAUGGUUGUCGUCAGCUCGUGUCGUGAGAUGUUGGGUUAAGUCCCGCAACGAGCGCAACCCUUAAGCUUAGUUGCCAUCAUUAAGUUGGGCACUCUAAGUUGACUGCCGGUGACAAACCGGAGGAAGGUGGGGAUGACGUCAAAUCAUCAUGCCCCUUAUGAUUUGGGCUACACACGUGCUACAAUGGACAAUACAAAGGGCAGCGAAACCGCGAGGUCAAGCAAAUCCCAUAAAGUUGUUCUCAGUUCGGAUUGUAGUCUGCAACUCGACUACAUGAAGCUGGAAUCGCUAGUAAUCGUAGAUCAGCAUGCUACGGUGAAUACGUUCCCGGGUCU
rnacentral:rRNA from 1 species